CAGAGUCUGACCGGGGGAAAAAGGAACUUCACAAAUAGCCACGAACAAAGCCUAAAACAACAAGAGCUGACGAAGGCAGUUUCGGCUCUGCACAGCCAUGGAAACGCAGAUGUGUAUCAAUGAGCCCAGAUGGCCAUGGCAGAUUGUCGGCUCAGAGUCCCAACACAACAAGAGGGUGCCAUGUGGCUGCUGCCUCUGCUCUGGUACAGCUAGAAAAGUCCUCUGCAAAUCCUAUUCUGCAGUGGCAUAACAAGUCAAAAAUGAUAUUAAUGGCAGAAGCAAUACAACUCGACACAAGGUCAGUGUAAUGGUUGUGUGUGUUUAUUCAAACUUGAUUUAUGAUUUUGCUGCUGUAUCUAGCAGUCUUUCUGUCUUUCCCAUUGAGAUAAAGGACAAUUGCCCAAGUGUACCAUCACUAUGCUUUAUUAUACUGCU